AACGAACGCUGGCGGCAGGCCUAACACAUGCAAGUCGAGCGAGACCUUCGGGUCUAGCGGCGGACGGGUUAGUAACGCGUGGGAACGUGCCCUUUACUACGGAAUAGUCCCGGGAAACUGGGUUUAAUACCGUAUACGCCCUUCGGGGGAAAGAUUUAUCGGUAAAGGAUCGGCCCGCGUUAGAUUAGAUAGUUGGUGAGGUAACGGCUCACCAAGACGACGAUCUAUAGCUGGUUUGAGAGGAUGAUCAGCCACACUGGGACUGAGACACGGCCCAGACUCCUACGGGAGGCAGCAGUCGGGAAUAUUGGACAA
rnacentral:rRNA from 1 species